rnacentral:rRNA from 1 species
UGGGGAAUUUUGGACAAUGGGCGAAAGCCUGAUCCAGCAAUGCCGCGUGUGUGAAGAAGGCCUUCGGGUUGUAAAGCACUUUUGUCCGGAAAGAAAUCCUUGGCUCUAAUACAGUCGGGGGAUGACGGUACCGGAAGAAUAAGCACCGGCUAACUACGUGCCAGCAGCCGCGGUAAUACGUAGGGUGCAAGCGUUAAUCGGAAUUACUGGGCGUAAAGCGUGCGCAGGCGGUUUGCUAAGACCGAUGUGAAAUCCCCGGGCUCAACCUGGGAACUGCAUUGGUGACUGGCAGGCUAGAGUAUGGCAGAGGGGGGUAGAAUUCCACGUGUAGCAGUGAAAUGCGUAGAGAUGUGGAGGAAUACCGAUGGCGAAGGCAGCCCCCUGGGCAAUACUGACGCUCAUGCACGAAAGCGUGGGGAGCAAACAGGAUUAGAUACCCUGGUAGUCCACGCCCUAAACGAUGUCAACUAGUUGUUGGGGAUUCAUUUCCUAGUAACGUAGCUAACGCGUGAAGUUGACCGCCUGGGGAGUACGGUCGCAAGAUUAAAACUCAAA